AUUAUUCCUCGUYCGCAACACAAUAUUUGCGUGUUGACCUUUUGAACGUGACGUCACGCCCUGCAGAGCUCCGCCCACUUCCGCCAUGACGGACAAAAACAACCAAUGCCUCCUCUGAAGUUGGUCUAAAACCAGACAUCUGUAAGCUACUAUCACUUCUGUUUAAUUUCACUUUAGAAAUGGCGACAGGUUGCUGCACAAAACAGACAAGGUUGCAAACCAAACCUGCCAUUUGAUUGUUUAACUUCUCCUGAGGAAAGAUGCGGCUGAUUUCAGCAGCCAAUCAUGACGACUGUUACACUUUUUACAAGAGCUGACGGUUGUUUUGGGCUGAAGCUCACAGACGUUUCCAUUUCCCAGAUUCCCAACCACGACGACGACGACGACGCCUGCUUCUUAUUUCUGUGCUCACACACACAAACAGACGGAUGCAGUUUCAGGAUCCAGGGAUCAAGUUGUGAUGAAGCAUCUCAGCAGCAAAUGACACAAUCACACAGCAGCGCGCCGCCACACGUGCACUCUAACCUUUCAGCCUUCGCAGCGGGUAACGGACACCAGCGACCGAUUCCCAGGACGAGGCCAGCUCCAGGAUUUUCAAAAUAAAUGGAUGAUUUAUUAAUACAUCAAAGUAAUUAUGAGGUAAAAAAUCAAUCAGCAGCUACCCAAUCCAGGGUUGAGUGUUAUUCCAGAACGUCCUCUCAGGAGACGGUGUCCAUUUCAGCAAGUCAGAAAUGUAAUUAGCCUUUCGCCUGGGGGGCUGCAGGCUGCGUUCAGGGCGACGAGCCGCCGAUUCCAGACCUCAUGUUCAGGCUGCARACACAGACAAGCCAAAGAACAAAGACACGUUUUAUGUCUGGUUUAGCCCAUUCACAGAUUCAUGGAUAAGAAAAAUCAGYUGCAGCAUUCCUGAACUGUUCAUAAGCCAGGAGAUAAACAAACAUGGCUGACUGCAAGUCCAGGCCUCAGCUGCUGUAAAGGUGCAGAGUUACACCCGAUUCAAAUGUACGGUGGCCCAGACGGGUCACCAAUGCCAGAACAUAAGAAUAUGUGAUUAUAUACGGGGUUGAGUGGAAAGCAGCAGCAGCGGCUCAGUUUGCCCAAAUGAUUCAGGGAACAAGGAAAAAACGCAGCAAGCAAAGAGAGCAAGUUUGGUUUGAAAUGAGAAUUAAACCAGAACAAAGCAACCCUGGUUCUGCUUUCCUCCCGCUCUGCUGGUUAGCCUCGCGUUUCCACUUCCACGCCGCUCUUUCAACCCACUCUGUGGAUAUUUGUUCAGCUUACGCUGCACUUCGGUGAAAGGACUGAAUAAAUGGAACCAUGGACUUCA